rnacentral:ncRNA from 1 species
UCCGCCGCGAGGCGGAAUCUGAAGGAAGCUGAAGGCAAACUCCCGGCCUGACGAACAGGAACCGCAUACGAGGCUGUCGCACCUGGGCGAGAGGGCCAACGCACUCAAAGCCCAAUAGCUAUCCGGAAGGGGCGGCAGUAUAUGCGGCAGGUAGAUGGGAGGAAGGUCGCGCGU